rnacentral:rRNA from 1 species
UCAAUUGCUUUAAUACCUUUUGGUUAUAAAUAAUUGUUAGUGGCAGACGGGUGAGUAAUGCGUAGGAAUCUACCUAGUAGUAUGGAAUAGCCAUUAGAAAUGAUGGGUAAUACUGUAUAAUCCCUGCGGGGGAAAGAUUUAUCGCUAUUAGAUGAGCCUACGUUAGAUUAGCUAGUUGGUAAGGUAAUGGCUUACCAAGGCUAUGAUCUAUAGCUGGUCUGAGAGGACGAUCAGCCACACUGGAACUGAGAUACGGUCCAGACUCCUACGGGAGGCAGCAGUGGGGAAUAUUGGACAAUGGGCGAAAGCCUGACCCAGCUAUGCCGCGUGAGUGAAGAAGGCCUUCGGGUUGUAAAACUCUUUCAAUAGGGAAGAUAAUGCC